UUUCCCUUCUGAAUAGGAUUUUGCAUAAGAUAAUAUUUGUGUGCGCUUUUUUGUGGUAAAUUUAGUGCUAUUAAAGAGGGUUUGUUCCACGCUCAGUGUUUGUUUUUCUUGCCUAGGGUUUAGCUCUUUGUUGUCUUGAAACCAAGAAGUUUGCUUCGGGAACAACGAGUUGAAGAACUUGUUAGCGGGCGUGGUACCUUUUAAGGACAUUCUUAGUCUGUAACAAUUUGUUUUAAAGGAAGUUUUUGGAGGUGAGGUUGAGUUUUUGAAGUAUUAUUUAGUUGGGGAGAAAGGUAAUUUUCUUAUAUAAGAUAAGGUUUUCCAUUAGCUUAUCAUCCAAGUAUAUUAAUGGCUUCACUCCAUCAAACACACUGUUAAUGGCCAAAUGAAUCAAAGAGCUCUACCUCGUUGCCCAAUUGUUCUCUCCUUAGUUCAGAUCCUACUCGUUACCAUGAUUUUGGUUUUGUGCUUUCAAUGUUUUUGGAGUUCUUCUUAGCUACCUUGUCAUCCUAUGGAUGCGUAUAUGGAGGCGAUCUUUCUUCUCAUGACAGUAGGUUUCCAGAAUUAGGGUUUUGAUUAGGCUUCCAUCCUCUUGCUUGUUUUAGGUUGAGUUUGCCUAUUGGGGUCCUUUUUCUUAGGGCUUUGGUUUUUAACUAGGGUGAGUUGUUUGGGGUUUGCGUGCUUCAGACUUUUUCUUACGCAAUGAACAUGUAUCUUUUGGAAAACAAAAAAAUCUUCAUAACAAUAACAAUGAAGUCAGUCCUUUUAUUAUGGGUUACUUGAGGCAUACUUUCUUUCUUUUUUCCGCCUAACAGCUUAUAUGAGAGAAAAUUUUUUAAGGUAAUUGAUGAAUCUUUAAAGUCCAAUACUUGUUUGAGAGAGAGAUUUUUUAAAAGAAGUAAGGUUUUAAGAGGGAACGUUCAUUUUUUUUAAUCCAUCAAAUUAGUGGGUGAGAGAUUGUGCUAUCUUAUCUUUCAUUGAUAUCUUACCUUUCUAUGUAAAGCCCUUACUCCAUACAAACACACCGAAAAGUUCUAGAAAAAUAUUAUUAAUAGGAAUUUCCUAAUCCUUCCUGGUGGAACUUAGUGUUUGCUUUCGUGUUUAUGACUGUAGAAUAAUUUGUUUGAUUUAAUUAUUGAACUUCCCUUGCGUUUACAAUUUAUUACCCAAUUUACAGAUAUUUUAAUGAAUUAAUUCAUAUGAAAUCCAACAAAAUCUACUGGAAUGUAUUCCUAAACUUGAGUUAUAAUGACAAAUAAUAUAAUAUAAUACUGCAGCCGUUAAUUUUCAAGUACGCAUACAAAAGUGUGAGGGAGAAUUUAGCAGACAUUUUAAUGGAAGCUGUUGCUUCUUUUGUUGAUCUGGGCUUUCCAUUUGCAUCCUUUGAAGGUGACUCACUUGCAGGAGGUUAAUCGGCUCCAUGAAAGGAAUGAAUAAUGAAGAUGUGCCUGUAUAUUGAUGAAGCAACGUUGUAUUUUACUAUCACUCACCCCAUUAAAUUUUCAUGCAAUUUUCUGCAGCUAUGUUCUCCAGUUGCUUCUCCUGAAGGAACUUGGUAAGGCGAACUAAGAAAUCAGUAUCGUCAGAACUCCUUGUUAGCUCUCCUACAACUUCUGCAGGUGUGACUUUGACCUUCUCCAAUAGCUGUUCAAUCUCUUUGGGAGGCUUGCAAAAGAUAACACUAUAAUACAUGUAGACUAAUUCAUUAAAUGUAGAAAUGGUACAAUAUGACAUUGGAAUCUGCAUAUCAAUGCGACCAGGCGUUAAUAAUUCUGGGGCGAUCCUUUCUCUGUGAUUGGUUGUGAAAAUGAUGAUCAAUUCAUUGCCUCGAGGCAACCAAAGUCCAUCAAUAAGCCUUAGCACCUUCAAGAGUUGAGCUUGUUUUUGAGCUUCAAUUCUAGGUUCAGCUUCUGUCUCUUGGUAUCCUGGCUUGAUCGGAGAAUCAAUAUCCCUGAUGACAAGUAGGGAACGGGUGAUAUAGUGAAGCAAUAAGUCCCUUAUAUCGUCACCUUUCUGGAAAUAUGAUAGAUCUACCUGGUAUAUGUUGUAGUUUAAGUGAUUAGCUAUGGCAGCAAUCAAGCUGGACUUGCCUGUCCCUGGAGGACCAUGUAUCAGGUAUGUGCGUUUCCAAGCUUUCCCAAUUCUUUUGUAGUAUUCUUUUGAAUUCAUGAAUGUGUUCAAAUCAUCCAAUACUGCUUGCUUAAGCUCUGCAUCCAUUGCAAUGGUGGAAAAGGUCAUUGGAUGAUGAAACUCUGUUGAUGAAGUCCAUGUCAAACCUUGAAGCAUGUUGAUCUUUCUUAUCUCAUUUUCUUCUUUAAUGGCUUCUGCUUGCUGCAGAAUGUAUGGCAGGUAUGAAUUCAGCACCUUCUCUUUGUGCUUCUGGUUAAAAGUUAGCUGGUAGCAUCGUAAUUCUUUAAAAAUCAAUUUCCACUUUACUUCUAUAUCGUCAAAAACAUCACAAGUUUCUUCAUCUUUGUCCAUGGUGAUUGCUAGUUUUUUCUCACCCUCUUGCUUGCUUGCUUUUAGACGUCCAACCGAAGCUGUCAAUUUCGUACCCAGAUAAGUAUCAACAGCCAUAAACAAUUCUUGAAAGUAGAAUUCUUCAAUAACAAAAGUGAUUUGAGAAGAGAAAUGAUGAGAAAGACCAUGGAGAUUAGAGCACACGUAACUGUGGAUUUGAGAACGAAUGGAUGGAAUUAGCAUUGCUGAAGCAGCAAAAGAGGCUACCACGGAGAGAACUGUUUUUGUAUUGGUCAUUUUCUGGGAGGAAUUCUGCAAUUGGCAAGGGCUUUUGAGAGGGAUUUUGCGUAACAGUGAAAGUGAUGCCUACACACAAGCAGAAAAAGGAUGGGCAAGGUUUUCUACUCUUUCCUAAUGCCUUGACUAGGCUUUAUAAUGCAUAAAGCCAAGAAAAUUCUGUAAAUUUCUGUUAUAUAAAACUUGGGAUUGAUCCUAGCUUGUACUUCAGGUUUAUGUUCAAAAACAGAACCAGAUUAGCCAGUGGAAACAAUUAAUCCGGAAACCAACCUAAUUACUGACAUAUAGUGUCUGUUUAACAUUAAUAUUUAAACUGUUGUUGAGAAAAAU
rnacentral:misc_RNA from 1 species